CGUAGAUAGAAAAGGAGAGUAAGAGUUGAAGAAGUCGGAAUGAACAAUUGAAUAAAAUAUCGUCCCAACGUUUCAUAAAUCUGAUUUAUGAAACGUUGGGACGAUAUUUUAUUCAAUUGUUCAUUCCGACUUCUUCAACUCUUACUCUCCUUUUCUAUCUACGG
rnacentral:sRNA from 1 species